rnacentral:rRNA from 1 species
UACGUAGGGUGCGAGCGUUGUCCGGAAUUACUGGGCGUAAAGAGCUCGUAGGUGGUUUGUCGCGUUGUUCGUGAAAACUCACAGCUCAACUGUGGGCGUGCGGGCGAUACGGGCAGACUAGAGUACUGCAGGGGAGACUGGAAUCCUGGUGUUAGCGGUGAAAUGCGCAGAUAUCAGGAGGAACACCGGUGGCGAAGGCGGAUCUCUGGGCCAUUACUGACGCUGAGGAGCGAAAGCGUGGGGAGCGAACAGG